rnacentral:rRNA from 1 species
UACGUAGGGACCAAGCGUUGUUCGGAUUUACUGGGCGUAAAGGGCGCGUAGGCGGCGCGGUAAGUCACUUGUGAAAUCUCUGAGCUUAACUCAGAACGGCCAAGUGAUACUGCAGUGCUAGAGUGUGGAAGGGGCAAUCGGAAUUCUUGGUGUAGCGGUGAAAUGCGCAGAUAUCAGGAAGAACACCUAUGGCGAAGGCAGCUCUCUGGGACGGUACUGACGCUGAGACGCGAAAGCGUGGGGAGCGAACAGG